UGUUAGCGUUACAUAAAACAACCAUCCUGCUUGCAAUUCAAGAGCUUCAUAGCAGCUAAAUUUGUCUAAAAAAAAAUUUAAAAAAUCACUGCAAGAUUAGAAAUUUAAUUAAAGUUAUUAAAGAAUUAAAGUUGCAACAUCCAAGAAGCGGCACCGUGCAUUUACUAAACCACUGCACUAUUUCUGCUUUGUGAAAGACGCAAACAACUUAGAGAGAACAAUUUAUGUGUGAAGCUUCCCUGAGAACAGAAGAACAGAGGGUCAGUACCAGAAGAGUAACCAAGAUCAUUAAUGAAGACACAGAACAUUGCAGCGAUGAAUACGGAGGAAUGAGAAGUAGGCAAUACUAUACAUGUUGGAGAAACCAUAAACUGAUGCAAAGGACUUGCGUCUUAUUCAGGGCAUGGGAGGGAUCCAAAAAGGCAAAAUUCAAGUCACAAAGACCACCAUGAAUUUGCAGCUCAGCGUUAAUUUGAAAACAGGACUGUUUUUCUCUUUUAUAUAACUCCAUGCUGCUUUCCAAGUGAACAUUUUUUUUUAAGAAUCACUUGAACAGCACAUGGGAAUCUCACCACCAGCUUCUCCUAUGCAGAUCCUCAAGGUCAGUGGCCUAACCACCACAUUUCUGAUGACAAACGGUCCCGUUUUCACCUAAACUUUCACUGAAAUCAAAACAUUUUGGCAUUAGUCAAAUCAGUGUGUUUUGGUAGAUUUAGUUUAGCUGAAGAAGUGUUCCAACCGACUCUAAUCCUCCUGUUAAAAUGAAAAAUGACAGAGUUCCUGCAAAUGCACACAGUUCCCACACAGCAGUGUUCUGAGAGCAGCACGGUUAUCAGCGCUGCUUCGUAACACCUCAUGUGCAGGAACAUAGGCCAUAUAUCAGAACAAAAAGCAGCAGAAGAAAUCUUUCGAAAGGGGGCUGUAUUAAAAAUCGUUGAUCAGGUGAACACAAAGCAUGGGUUACAAUCACACUGCUGUUUUCAAGCAGAGGGAGCUAUUGUACAGGAAGAGAAGAGCGACGUAAACUGCACAGUGACAGGGUUAAGUCUGUAAUGUGGGCACUGCUGUAAAAACCCCAAAUGUUUGUUACCAGGACUGUGAAUCACAACACUAUUGCCACAAGAAAUGUAACAAAAGCCACAUGUGAAGACAGACCUACUCUGUUGGAAGGUGCAAUCUUUUAUAUGUAUUCUUUAUAACUUCAGGGUGACUACAACUGUGGAUUGCACCACGUUUUUCUUACCAAAACAAAGGAGCAGUGUUUUUCUGCAAACUUAGCAUUACGAUUUAAACUCGCCCAAAUGCACUUAAAGAACAACACCUGCUAAAACAAGACAGCAAACACUGAAUUCACAUCUUGUAAACAGUGAGUGCA